rnacentral:rRNA from 1 species
CCUACGGGAGGCAGCAGUGGGGAAUUUUGGACAAUGGGCGAAAGCCUGAUCCAGCCAUUCCGCGUGCAGGACGAAGGCCUUCGGGUUGUAAACUGCUUUUGUACGGAACGAAAAAGCCUUGGCCAAUACCCAAGGUCCAUGACGGUACCGUAAGAAUAAGCACCGGCUAACUACGUGCCAGCAGCCGCGGUAAUACGUAGGGUGCGAGCGUUAAUCGGAAUUACUGGGCGUAAAGCGUGCGCAGGCGGUUAUAUAAGACAGAUGUGAAAUCCCCGGGCUCAACCUGGGAACUGCAUUUGUGACUGUAUAGCUGGAGUGCGGCAGAGGGGGAUGGAAUUCCGCGUGUAGCAGUGAAAUGCGUAGAUAUGCGGAGGAAUACCGAUGGCGAAGGCAAUCCCCUGGGCCUGCACUGACGCUCAUGCACGAAAGCGUGGGGAGCAAACAGGAUUAGAUACCCUGGUAGUCCACGACCUAACGAUGUCACUAGGUUGUUGGUUCGUUCUACUGUACUCUAGUAACGAAGACUAACGACGUGAGUAGACCGCCGUCGGGAGGUACGGCCGCGAGGUUAGUAACGUUAAAGUAGUAAGUUAGUACGGCGUGAGACGUAGACCGAACGGACGACGACGAGGGAGGAGG